GUCCACCGAAAAGCCAAAAAAUUUUAGUGUUAGAAUACCCUAUCCUAGAACCACGUUUAACCUUUUUGCACAAUUCGUUUUCAAAUUUCAUUGUAUUGAGUUUGUCCUAGUCAAGGUCUUGCUGCUAGUUAAUUGGUGUUAGAGUCCAAUUCAUGUGUUUUCCCCAUCGUUUUCAUCAAAUCCUAGUCGCCACAACCUUUUUUGCAUGCAUUGUUCCCAUUUUGUCCUCUAAUUCAGAGUUCGUUCAUAAAGCAACCAUAACUUUCACAUACAAACUCCGAUUUUGACAUUCCAUAUAUCAAAAUUGAUUAGAAAAUUUUUUGGAUCCAUCCAUCCCCCACUAUAUGGGGUUUACUAAUUUUAGAUUUUCCAAAUUCGGCCAGGAAGAUUGACUUUCCGAUCCUAGAAGCGUUUCAUCAAUUUUUAGCAUAUCUUCUUAUUUUUCUACUAGCCAUGUCUUUCACUUGUUGAAGCUCAUAUUUUCUGUGUUUACUUCUUGUGUGCUCCUAAGUCAAGGAAAAAUUAAAAAUAUAAAAAGAAAAAGUCAAAUUUUCCCUAAAAAACAACGACAACCCAAAAAAUAAAAAAAUUAAAGGGGCAAAAGAGGAACAUUAUCUAGAGGAGCACAUAGAGAUGUUCUAAUCAAGCUGUGAAGGUGUGUACUAUUUUGUGCUUUGUUCUUGUUGCUCUUAUCAUCCAUCAUACUUAUUUUCCUCAUUCUGGUUGUCACACAUCAGGUACUUGGAACACGCUAGGUCAACAACGAGAACAAGUAGUUGGGACUAUGAAAGCCCAAGUUUGGUUUUGGUAAUUAAUGACACCAAGUUGCUAAUGUUUUGUGUUUAAGUGAUUUGAGUUAGGCAUAGCAACACAUGUGACGAAGGUGUAUGGUGGCAUGGAAAGGUGGCCACAUGAUCACAAAGGGAUGAAGCAUGAAGUGAAGAUCAUGG
rnacentral:lncRNA from 1 species